rnacentral:misc_RNA from 1 species
CAACCCUCGAGCCCGACUUUUCGAAGGACGGCUCGGCGUUGAGGGACGGCAGACUCCCCCCGGCAUCUCGCCGGGGACGCCGCCCUCGAAAUCUAGUGGCGGCCCUCCGAGGCGACCUCUGCGUAGUAACUUAACCUCGCCCCGGAAAGCUCAGAGCGGCCACGCCGUAAAACCCCAACUUUUUUCA